rnacentral:rRNA from 1 species
CACGUAGGGUGCGAGCGUUGUCCGGAAUUAUUGGGCGUAAAGAGCUCGUAGGCGGUGUGUCGCGUCGGCCGUGAAAACCUGCAGCUUAACUGUGGGCUUGCGGUCGAUACGGGCAUCACUGGAGUUCGGCAGGGGAGACUGGAAUUCCUGGUGUAGCGGUGAAAUGCGCAGAUAUCAGGAGGAACACCGGUGGCGAAGGCGGGUCUGUGGGCCGAUACUGACGCUGAGGAGCGAAAGCGUGGGGAGCGAACAGG